rnacentral:rRNA from 1 species
CAGUCGCCGCGGGAAUACGUAGGGGGCAAGCGUUAUCCGGAUUUACUGGGUGUAAAGGGAGCGCAGGCGGUCUGGCAAGUUGAGAGUGGAAGCAGGGGGCUCAACCCCCUGACUGCUCCCAAAACUGUUGGACUGGAGUAUGGGAGAGGCAGGCGGAAUUCCUAGUGUAGCGGUGAAAUGCUCAGAUAUUAGGAAGAACACCGGUGGCGAAGGCGGCCUGCUGGACCAAAACUGACGCUGAGGCUCGAGAGCGUGGGGAGCGAACAGGAUUAGAGACCCCAGUAGUCCCUGUCUCUUAUAC